AUUGAACGCUGGCGGCAUGCCUUACACAUGCAAGUCGAACGGCAGCACGGGAGCAAUCCUGGUGGCGAGUGGCGAACGGGUGAGUAAUAUAUCGGAACGUGCCCAGUCGUGGGGGAUAACGCAGCGAAAGCUGUGCUAAUACCGCAUACGAUCUACGGAUGAAAGCGGGGGAUCGCAAGACCUCGCGCGAUUGGAGCGGCCGAUAUCAGAUUAGCUAGUUGGUGGGGUAAAGGCCCACCAAGGCGACGAUCUGUAGCUGGUCUGAGAGGACGAACAGCCACACUGGAACUGAGACACGGUCGAGACUCCUACGGGAGGCAGCAGUGGGGAAUUUUGGACAAUGGGCGCAAGCCUGAUCCAGCAAUGCCGCGUGCAGGAUGAAGGCCUUCGGGUUGUAAACUGCUUUUGUACGGAACGAAACGGCUCCUUCUAAUACAAGGGGCUAAUGACGGUACCGUAAGAAUAAGCACCGGCUAACUACGUGCCAGCCGCCGCCGUAACAC
rnacentral:rRNA from 1 species